rnacentral:misc_RNA from 1 species
UUUCCGUAGGUGAACCUGCGGAAGGAUCACUGGUAGUUGGUUGAGGGGGAGGGGUUGAUUGAGAUUUUGAUUGAUCUCAAUCUCAUCUCAAUCAAAAUCACCCCCACACACAUUAACAAGCUUGUUGGUUGACUGAACGUUAUAACAACACAAAACUCUUAACAAUGGAUCUCUCGGCUCUU